rnacentral:rRNA from 1 species
UACAGAGGUGGCAAGCGUUGUUCGGAAAUACUGGGCGUAAAGCGCACGUAGGCGGCGCAGCAAGUCAGGGGUGAAAUCCCGGGGCUCAACCCCGGAACUGCCUUUGAAACUGCAGUGCUAGAAUCUUGGAGAGGCGAGUGGAAUUCCGAGUGUAGAGGUGAGAUUCGUAGAUAUUCGGAAGAACACCAGUGGCGAAGGCGACUCGCUGGACAAGUAUUGACGCUGAGGUGCGAAAGCGUGGGGAGCAAACAGG